GACAGAGGAUGCAAGCGUUAUCCGGAAUGAUUGGGCGUAAAGCGUCUGUAGGUGGCUUUUUAAGUCCGCCGUCAAAGCCCAGGGCUCAACCCUGGAAGUGCACUCGAUACUGCUUCGCUUGAGUACUGGAGAGGUCGGUGGAAUUCUCGGUGUAGAGGUGAAAUUCGUAGAUAUCUGGAGGAACAUCAGUGGCGAAGGCGACACCCUGGACUCAUACUGACACUGAGGUGCGAAAGCGUGGGGAGCAAACAGG
rnacentral:rRNA from 1 species